rnacentral:misc_RNA from 1 species
GCACACACUUGUACUCCUCAAGUAAUCGCUGUGUAACUUCCUCCUGUUCACUGGGCUCUACAUCUACCUUGAGAGAACCCACAUAGAUAACCUCAGUUUCAGGUGAAAACCCAUCCUUCAGUUGUAAUAAAAGUGAAUCCUCGUCCAAACUAAAGCACCACUUUUCAGCUGUUGUAUCCCUUUGAGCAUGCAAAGGCAGCAUGUUUGCAACAAUAAUCUUUCGCUCAUGACAAGCAGAUGACAUACUAUCUGAAUCGCCAUCAUUGCUGCGACAGCCAUCAGAAAUUAUCCCGGGAACAGUCAUCAUACGCGGAAGUGCUCUAGGAGUCUGAUGUAUAUCCAGUAUGUCCUCAGAUGCCAAGUCGAAAAAGUUUGCACUAGAUCUUGAUGCCAUGUAUCUGAAGUAGAACUUAGCUUACGUUAUAUCAUACAAGUUCUGCUGAGAUAUGUGAAACCAAAGGAAAGUGUGUCCCAGUAAUUGCUGAAUCAAAUUUUCCUGCAGUCUAUAAAACAUGCAAUUCCGAUGACCGGAAAACUAACGCUGACGUCACAAACCGAUGAAUUCCGAAGAGAUCAAGGUUAUCAGAUACAUAAAAUCUACAGCUAAAACCAAAAAACACCGAA